CGCGUGAGGAACCUGCCUUCCAGAGGGGGACAACAGUUGGAAACGACUGCUAAUACCGCAUGAUACAUUUGAAUCGCAUGGUUUGAAUGUCAAAGAUUUAUCGCUGGAAGAUGGCCUCGCGUCUGAUUAGCUAGUUGGUGAGGUAACGGCCCACCAAGGCGACGAUCAGUAGCCGGACUGAGAGGUUGGCCGGCCACAUUGGGACUGAGAUACGGCCCAGACUCCUACGGAAGGCAGCAG
rnacentral:rRNA from 1 species